rnacentral:rRNA from 1 species
UACGUAGGGUGCGAGCGUUAAUCGGAAUUAUUGGGCGUAAAGCGUGCGCAGGCGGUUUUAUAAGACAGAUGUGAAAAUCCCCGGGCGUUAACCUGGGAACGUGCGUUUGUGACUGUAAGACUCGAGUGUGGCAGAGGGGGGUGGGAAUUCCACGUGUAGCAGUGAAAUGCGUAGAGAUGUGGAGGAACACCAAUGGCGAAGGCAGCCCCCUCGGGUCGAUACUGACGCUCAUGCACGAAAGCGUGGGUAGCAAACAGGAUUAGAAACCC